rnacentral:rRNA from 1 species
AAUCUACCCUUAGGCCUGGAAUAACCCUGAGAAAUCGAGGCUAAUACCGGAUGAUGCAGCGGCACCUCAUGGUGAUGUUGUUAAAGUCUAUAUGGCGUCUAUGGAUGAGCUUGCGUCUGAUUAGCUUGUUGGUAAGGUAAAAGCUUACCAAGGCUACGAUCAGUAGCUGGUCUGAGAGGACGAUCAGCCACACUGGAACUGAGACACGGUCCAGACUCCUACGGGAGGCAGCAGUGGGGAAUAUUGGGCAAUGGGCGAAAGCCUGACCCAGCAACACCGCGUGGAGGAUGAAUGCCGUAAGGUUGUAAACUCCUGUUAGAGGGGAAGAAUAAUCCCGAUAGACUCGGGACAUGACUGUACCCUCAGAGAAAGCUUCGGCUAACUACGUGCCAGCAGCCGCGGUAAUACGUACGGAGCAAGCGUUGUCCGGAUUUACUGGGUGUAAAGGGUGCGCAGGCCGGGUUAGUAAGUCAGAGGCGAAAUCCUCCAGCUCAACUGUAGAACUGCCCUUUGAUACUGCUAAUCUUGAGUAUGGAAAGAGAGAGACGGAAUUUCCAGGUGUAGUGGUGAAAUACGUAGAUAUCUUGGAAAGAACACCAGUUUGCGAAGGCGGUCCUCUUUGGGUCCAAUACUGACGCUGAAGGCGCGAAAGCGUGGGUAAGCAAAACAGGGAUUAGAUACCCCUG